GCCGUAAGUUUGGUAGGAAGGUACCAAAGUAAUCCCAGCAUGGAACACUGGACAACGGUCAAGAACAUCCUGAAGUACCUGAAAAGGACUAAGGAUAUGUUUCUCGUUUAUGGAGGUGACGAAGAGCUCGUCGUAAAGGGUUACGUCGAUGCUAGCUUCGACACAGAUCUGGAUGACUCUAAGUCACAAACCGGAUACGUGUAUAUUUUGAAUGGUGGGGAAGUCAGCUGGUGCAGUUGCAAGCAAAGCGUCGUGGCGGGAUCUACAUGUGAAGCGAAGUACAUGGCAGCCUCAGAGGCAGCACAUGAAGCACUCUGGAUGAAGGAGUUCAUUGCCGACCUAGGAGUUAUUCCCAAUGCAUCGGGGCCGAUGACUCUCUUCUGUGACAACACUGGAGCUAUUGCCCUUGCCAGGGAGCCC
rnacentral:rRNA from 1 species